rnacentral:lncRNA from 1 species
CCCACCAGGGUCCAUUUCACCAUCUGCCACAGCCGCGAGGCUUCACUUCCACUACUACUACGGUACUACCCCCCGCUGUUCCGCCCGCGCAUCCACCGAUCCGUCUCAGCUCAACACCCCACGCUGCCAGCAACGCAACCCCCGCGUGCAUCUCUCGCGCGCGCGCGUACAUGGCAACAGCGUAGUACUUCGCCACUUGCUGCGGAGACGACGAUGGCGGUGGCGGCGCCGGCGAGGAGGAUGACGCCGUUGACGCUGCGGGACUUCCUGGAGCAGUCCAGCAGCGAAGGCUUCCGCGCCUACCCGCGUUUCCCCGUUGCCGACGAGGGAGUGGCCGGAGGAGACCUCGCGCCGCCGGUGCGCCUCCUCAUCGAGGCCGGGCUACGCCGGAGCCCGUCGCGGUUGCCCUCCUUCUACAACUUCUUCCACAAGAGCCCCGGCACGCUCGCCAAGAUCUCGCGCCUCUCCAGGAGCCUCUCGCGGCGGUUCAGGGACGGCCUCUGGAGGCGCCGCGGCGAGGAUGACGGCGAGGAAGACGACGACAUUGCCGUCGACGAGAGGGACUCGCUCGGGCUGCCGUCGCCGGUGGUCAGCAGCUGCUCCUCGUCGGAGUGUGAGUACAUGGCCGAGUCAGAGGCUGAGCUGGCUACGACGGAGGAGGAGAAGUGCGCGUCGGCGUCGGAGUACGAAAAGACGUCGCAGUCGAGCACGGGGAGCGUCGCCUUCCAUGGCGCUGCCGACGCCGGAGGAGACGGGCAUAAGGAGGAUGUGGGUGACGAGCCCGUGGGGCGCAAGUUGGAGAUGGAGGACAAGCAACAGCUGAGCCCCGUGUCCGUUCUGGAUUUCCCCUUCGAUGACGACGACGGCGAGGAAGGAAGCGAUGCCGGCAUGUGCUCGCCGUCCUUCCAACAGUGCCUCGCCGAGCUCCAGAGAUCGAAGGCGGAGCUGCUGCACAAGAUCCGACGGCUGGAGGGCCUGACGCAGGUGGUCGUCCCCGUGGAUCUCGAGGCGCAAUUCACCGAGUCUGAUUCCUCCGAGCGCACGCAUCUCAACGCCAACUCGACUAGCUCUUCUGAUGACACCGCGACGACGGCGCCCACGACGCCACGGCAAUGCACGGACGACCAAGAUGCCGUUAAUCACGGCGAGGAGGAGGAGGAGGAGGAGGAGCACAGCCUGCUCGCGCGGCUGCUCGAGUCGGUUGUUGUCACGGACGAGGUCUCCGAGUGGCUCCUGCUCGACUUCUUCGCCGAGGGAGUGGACCGGCUCCGGUCGUCGGCGUCCAGCUGCCCUCUCAACGAUUGCGAGGAGGCGGCGCUGCUGCGCGCCGCGGGGGAUUGGGCGCGCGGCGCGGGGCAGCGGUGGGGCGUCGGGGACGUGGUGUUCUCCGGGUGGGCGGCGGUGGCGGACAUGGAGCGGAGCCGGAGGUGGAUGUGCGUCGCCGAGGAGGAGCGGGACGUCGGCGCGGAGGUGGACGGGCUCGUGAUGGACGCGUUGGUGGACGAGCUGGUCGCCGACUUGGCACUUGGUGGUGCGACCACGGUAGGGGUGGAAGUGUGUACGUGCCGCCGAUGAAGUUUCGAGCGUGUCAGGGUGUAACGUUUUGUGUGGACGUUAACUUGAGUGUUAACGUGACAGGGUUUACGCCGAAUCGUUCAAAAACAGGAUGUGUAUGAUGCAAGAGCGGGUGCUUUCAGUCAUGGGCUUUAUGACUUUCUCAGGAUGAAUCAGUACAUAUAGCAGAUUAAUAAUUC